UUUAGUAAUAUUGAGUAUUAUUACUAUUUAUUUUAUUAAGAAUAAAUAAUUUUGAUGUUAUGAAACUGAAUAAUUGAGAUCCCCAAACCUUGUUUUUUGUUAAACUAGAUGAAUGAUUUCCUUGACUUUUUUCUUUUUUGCAGAACUUCAUAAUCUGCAUGUCCUCUGGGCUGCAGUAUGUGGAAUGCAAAGAACUCAGAUAAUGGAAUAUGAGAGAUCUGAAUUCAAACUCUGGCUAAGGCACUUUGGAUUCACUUGCUAGUUUGUGCUGGUCAGGUCUCCGACCCUUGGUUUUCCUUUGUGUAACAUGGGACUGGCAACAUCUACUUUGCAGAGCUGUGGGGUGGACUAGUGAUAAUGUAUGAAGGUGCUUAGCAUAAUGAACAGUUCAUAGUAAACAACCAUUAAAUUAUAAGAAAUACCCAUCUUGAGCCUUGGAUAUGUCCUCUGAGAAGGUGCCCAUGAUACCAAUCACAUUGGAGGCCAGUGCAGAUACUGGGGGAAGGUUCCCCAGAAGCUGAGUGUGGACAUGAUGAUCACUGCCCUCCUUGACACAGAGCUGUUAAUCUCUCCUCUGGAGCUGGAUGGAGGUCCAAGAGGCCUUGAAGCACUGAGAGAUGCCAUGCUAAUUCAAGGCAAGGCCUUUAUUGUUGAAACUCUUGCAUAAUGACAUCUCUAUUCAUGUGAAAAUCCAGAAUUAAUUUCACUAUAUGACAUUGUUUAUGUUCAUCAAAAAUGUUAUUUAUCUUUACAAAGUCUGGUUUCAGUGAACUGGCUACGUAAUGGGUAUUAAAUAAACAUGGAAUCUUACACAUUCAUAAUAUUUGGUUUCUUGUUGUGAUUUUGAUGAACUGUACUUUCAAGCACUGUCAAUUCAUCCUUAUUUACAAAGACACAUUUACUUGUAGCAGAGUGAUGUAGUGACUUGCUUUAUUUUAAGAUAAGUCAACUUUCCUGUUCAAUGUUUAAUGUAAAACUGACUCACAAAUGUUCUUUUAGACCACAUUUACAUUUCUCUCUGUAUAACAUGCAUUAUACUAUUUUAACUUAAGGCUGUGAGCUACUUAAGCCAAAGACUUUCUAAUUCUGUUUUUAAUGUAUUUUUUGCAAGAUAAUUUAUAAUGCACUAAUAAGACUAAGGAGCUCAUAUUAAAAGACUUGUAUUAGAUGACCUACUGAAAUUGAUCCAUAGAAAUUGUCUCAAAAGUAAUUUUGUAAAAUUAUUUUGUAUAAAACUGAUUUUCUUGUAUGAAUUCUAGGCAACAAAUAUAAAACAAAAAGAAGUCAUAACUCCUUCUCUACUAUCCUACACAAGGAUAAGUAAUUAAAUAGAUUUUUGUGUUUCUUAGAAAAUAAUCAGAUAAAUAGUAAACAUUUUAGUUGUGCAUAUUAGAUUCUGGUUAUCUACUUAAAAUAAAAAUCCUUUUCAAAGUA